UGAGGGAAUAUUGGGUCAAUGGGCGGGAGCCUGAACCAGCCAAGUCGCGUGAGGGAGGAAGGUCCUACGGAUUGUAAACCUCUUUAGCCGGGGAGCAACGUGCGCCACGUGUGGCGCAAUGAGAGUACCCGGAGAAUAAGCAUCGGCUAACUCCGUGCCAGCAGCCGCGGUAAUACGGAGGAUGCGAGCGUUAUCCGGAUUUAUUGGGUUUAAAGGGUGCGCAGGCGGCGCGAAAAGUCAGCGGUCAAAGUUCCGGGCUCAACCCGGUGACGCCGUUGAAACUUUCGGGCUGGAGUUCGUGCGAGG
rnacentral:rRNA from 1 species